rfam:Colletotrichum higginsianum, IMI 349063, WGS project CACQ02000000 data, contig: cont1.647
GCCUUGUUGGCUAAGUGGUAUAGCGUCUCACUAGUAUCCUGGUGWCAUGAGAAGAUCGGCGGUUCGAUUCCGCCACGAGGCA